GCCUGAGUGGCUCAGUUGUUAAGCGUCUGCCUUUGGCUCAGGGAGUGAUGCCUGAGUUCUGGGAUCGAGUCCCGCCUCAGGCU
rnacentral:tRNA from 1 species